UUUUUUUUGACUGCUCUUUGGAUGAAUAUGUGAAAGGGUAUUACAGUGUGCUUUUGCCUGUAAGGGCUGGUGUAUUGUGUAAUAAUUUAAAAUUUGAGAGCAAAGUCAGGCUUUUAAUGGCAAGUCAAUUGCCUGUGCAGAAAUGAAAUGCUUGUUUGAAUGGGCAUAUUUUAGUUUAUAGCUUUGUUUCCAUAUGAUCUUGUUAUGCUUCUUCUUCUUAUAGAGUUUAAAGUCAUUUCGUCUCUCAUUUCUGUUAGCAUUUAAAACGAUUCUGUUGGCUUUCUAGUAUUUUGAGCCAUUCCGACUUGCCAGCAGCCCCAAGUAAAUGAAAAUAGAAUUUCCAGAACCAUUCUGGAGCAGAUUUGUGGAGAAGCUUUGGUGUAUCUCCUUCUGCCCGCCUCUUGCUCUGCCCUCCAUAUACUUUGGGAACGACUUUUUUUCAGCUUCCUAGCCCAGUUCCUUUUUUGUGUACUUUUCACAGAGGACUGGUUUGGAGUUUGUGGGUAGUAUCGUUAAUUGAUUCUCAUCUUCUGGGAAUGUGAAUCACAGAGUGAACAGUUUUCAGCUCAUUUUGAAUGUGGGGGCAUGCUUGAUGGCUGCUGAGAUAUGUUUUAUUGCUAUCUAAAAUCGUGUAGAUAGUGCUGUUCUUUUCUUCCCGUUCCCAUGUAGCCCUGUACCAGGUUCUUACAAUACCACAUGUUUAGAAUAUCAAGAAUCCCCCCUUUGAGAACAUGUUUACUUCUUUUCCUCUGUCACCCCGGACAUGCCUUUUAAGAAGUAGAUUAAACUCUGAAGUCAGCGCCUGUUUGCCUUCACGGUUUAGUUGCUGUAUAAUAUAUUUUGAUAGCCAGGGAUAAUUAAAAAACAGACAAACAAAACACCAUUAUAGAACAUUUUGUUCUGCUGUAUAUGAGUUGGAAUAUGAGUAGGCGCUUUCAAUUCUUGAAUGUCAAGGAUGUGCCGUUGAAUAGAGAAAAUGAGUGUGUAAGCUGCUUACGUUAUUGAACUUAGGUUACACAUUCUGCUCCUUUCCUUGCUGGAAGCUGUGGAGUUGAUCUUAUUUUUAUGGUACUGUAAUAGAAAUUGAAUUAAGGGGUUGACAUGGAACUUGCUUUUCAGCUACUCCUCUUAUUGUUUAUGUGAGCUUAGGCAAUGGUCUUGACCUAGCCUUAGAUCCUUUAUCUGUAAAAUGGGGAUUAAGUGGAUAGGAUAUCUUCCCUCAGUGGGAUUAAAUGAGUAAAGGAAAGUAAAACAUUCGGCAGAUAGUAAAACUUCUAUAAAUGUUAGCUGCUGUCAUUUUUAUAGAUUCCUCCAGCGCCUGUUUGUGUGUUACUUUGGUCCAAAAAUGAUUCCUUUCAAGUUCUAAAUAAGGAGGAAGUCUUGUAAGUUUGUAACAAUGUGUCCCGUGUAAUUGCUACAACCUCAUCUGUUAAAUAGUUCUUCAACUUCCACUUGAGACGUAGAAAGCAGGUGGAAACAAUGUGUGGAGCUUUUUCCAAUCUAGGCAGAGGUGUGCCCAAGGGUACACUCCUGUGUGCAGCAGGUAGCCAAAUGAAGUUAGGUAAGUACAUUAGGUAAGCACUGUCCCAUCUCUAGCGCUCCAGUUGCAUUCAGUUGUCUAGGGAGUUCUUCCUCAGCCUUCCUCUCCCCCUGCAGCCAACAGCUGUGCUGCUGAUCAGUUUUGCCAUAGGGUCAAUUUGCCUGUACUUGAACUUGGUGAAAGAGUCAUACAGUGGCUGCAUUUCUGAACGAGUCUUUAUCCCUGUGCAGUUUACCCAUGCUGUUGUGUGCAGUACUUAUUCAUGUGUUUCAAAUUGUUAUAGUCUUUUGUGUGUUUUGAAAUUUAUUUUAUUGGCACCUGGGGUAUAUGGUCACUGGCAGAAAAAAAAAAAAAGAAGAAAAAUAGCUUUAGAAAAAAAAAAAAACCAAAAAACCAUGACUUUUUUUUUUUUUUAAUAAAUGUAACACUGAGUUGGAGGUAACUCAGUUACCUUUGUUUCUAAUUCCAUAUACCAAAUCCUCUGAUACUACAUUCAUUUUCUUUUCUUUCUUUCUUUCUUUUUCUAUUUUCCUGGAGGUGAAGGAAGGAGCUUCAAGAUAGAGAAGGGAGUAUAUGAGCUAGGGUAUGGUUUUCCUGUUUAGGAUGAAGUUCCUUGAUCAAUACUUAGAAUUUAGCAGAAAUAACCAACUCAACUAUAGGGUCCUGCUCGUUGGGUUGGAAAUGUAACAGCAGAAUGUUUACACACACAGAUGUGACUCUGUGUGCAGAGACUGCUUUUUGAUUUAAAAGAAAGUCUAUCAAAAAUUGAGGGGAGUAGAGCUAAGAUGCUCUGCCCCGGGAGACGUUGAAGAACAGGGCCACACAGUUCUGUUGUGGAGAAGAGUUCUAUCCAGUCUGAACAAUCUCCGUACGUUGAGACUCUGUUUAUGCUCGUUGAAAUUCCUUAAUAUGGGGAAUGAAAUUUAUCUCACAAGCAGUAAAACAAAAAAGCAAAGUAGCAGCAAUGGAUAUGAAGGGUUUUGUUUGUUUGUUUGUUUGUUUUGUUUUGUUUUUGUUUUUCUCCAAAACUUGUUGGGGACCUGUUGUUGAGGGAGCCGUUUGUACUAUGUUAUUAGAAAUGUUGAUUGAGGGUUCUCUGGAUGUUUGCCUUGGACAUUAGCCAAUCUUUCCCCCUCAGGAGACAUUGUAUUUUUCAGCAUUUGUGAGUUUAUUAAAUCUUUCUAUUCAUAGCUCCUUGACACGGGUCAUGUUUUACAGACAGCCAUGGGGUAUGAAAGGAUCCCCCUGACUCCCAAGGAGCCCGUUAUGGCCAGGGUGUCAUUAGAUCUGGGGACAGCUGUAGUGGCCAUGUGUGGCUCAUUUAUUUAAAAUUGUGUUUCAGAUUUAUUUUAGUUUUUGGAAUAUGAAUGUUUUGCUUGCAUGCAUGUAUGCAUGUGCCCUUGGAGGAGGUUGUCAGAGCUUUUGAACUAUAGUUACCACUGGUGGCUGUGAACCACCAUACGGGUGCUAGGAACAAACACAAGUCCUCUAGAGAAGUAGCAAGUGCUGUCUCUCCAGCCCACAUCUUUUUUUAUGUAGGCAAUUACAGAUGCAGAUUAUGUUCCAAAGGAAAGAAAUGACCAACAAAUAGAGCCACCUCAUGUGCAGCAUGUCAUUUGAAAGGCUGUGGAUCCUUCUGUUCUAUUUGUAUAUGCUAAUGAUGAUGUAUAAAGAGUCUCUUUUGUGGGUGAGAGACUGGACCAGUGACCUCUAAGAGCCUUUGUGCCAGGGUUCCAUGAAAUAUGUUUUCAUAGUGCAGAUGGGCCUCAUACUUGACAUAGUAUGAUUCCAACAGUGUGUGUGUGUGUGUGUAUGUAUGUGUAUCCUGUUCCCAAGUCAGUAUGUUUUCCAAACUAAGCCUGUUUCUACUUGGCCUGCUCUAUGCAUUUCAAGUAAGAUUCCUAAUGUAUUAAUAGUCAUUAUGUCAGUUAUUCUUCCUGGCUUAAAAAAAAAUUAUUGUAAGGGACAAUAGGGAACCACGGAUGGUCGUGCACACCUGUAAGUCAGCCUAAGCAAUAUACAGAAUCACGGUCUUUAAAAACAAGGCAAACAAAAGAGCAAAAAUGAAGAUCAAAUUGGGUUUCAUAAUGUUUGGACUUGUCAGUAUCAAAAAUGAUGGUACUUGGCAGGUAUAGUAUUUCUGUGUUUCUGUCCGUCUCGUUACAUAUUUACUCCAACAAAUUGGAUGUAAAGAGUAUCAUAUCCCCUCUUGUCAUCCAGAGUUUUCUAAACUUUAAUUUCAAGAGAAAGAAAAAUCUCAUGGAGCGUAAAAGGCCAGCUCCAGUGAUGUAACAACAACAAAACGAUCUGGGUUCAGAUCAUGUACUUUUAACUGUGUGCAUAACUCCUACCUACAAAACGGCAUUUUAUGUUAAUAACGGGUGUUUAGGCUGGGCGGUGGUGGGAGUCAGAGGCAGCCGGAUUUCUGAGUUUAAGGCCAGCCUGGCCUACAAAGUGAGUUCCAGGACAGCCAGGGCUAUACAGAGAAACACUGUCUCAAAAAAACCAACAAAACAAAACAAACAAACAAACAAAACAAACAAGGUAUUUAGAAUAGUUGGCAAUACUGUAUGAUCUUGAAUCAUCAAAGUAAUAUUUUUUUCUCUUAUAAGACAGGAAAAUAUAUUUGGUUUUUACUCUUAAAUUAAAUUGAUGAUGACAAUGAUGAUUCUACGUGAGUAUCUGUGAAUUCUGGGAUGGAACCUCAGUCUCCAGGUUUGCUCUGCCAGCAUUUUGACCUGCUGAGCCAACUCCAGCUCAAGGACUUACAGUUCUAUAUUUAUGUGUGCAUAUAGCUACCCUCCUUCCUCUUUAGUCACUGGAAGCAGGUCUCACUCAUGGCCUUUUCUUUCUGGGUAUGCCUUAUUUUCCCAGUUUCCAUACCAAAAAUCAGCAGGGGAGAUAAAAAUUUAAGGGGACCCCCCCAACUAAGACCCCCAAAGAAAUAAACUUCAUGACCCUAUCAUAAACAGCUACUAGUUCAUCACCACCUUCCUGUCAUCAAACAAUCUAUCCUUUGCCUAAUGAUGCUCUUCAACCCUAAGUGCCUGCUCCCCUUAAAAAUCUUCAAGUCUCUGACAUUUUAAAAAGUUUUCCUUUAUUAUAAUUACAUGUCUUAUUUUAAUUAUGAGUGGAUAUAUGCAUGGGAAUGCAAGCGGACAGAAGAAAACAUCAGGUCUCCUGGAGCUGGACUUACAGCUGCGUGAGAGCACAGGCUCCUAUGUCAUGGGCAUCCAGUGCCGUGCUCUGCUUCACGUGAGGCCCGUGGAGGUGGAGCUGCUCACCACCAUGGACCAAACCCUCUGAAGUCACGCGCCAAAAUAAGCGGAGGCCUGGGCUUUCUCUGCAAGUCUUCCCAGCCUACUUCUGUAAUUGGGCGAUAUGCAUCCAGACCUCGGACCCUUAUGGACAUUGCUGUAUGUUCUUGUGAUUCUGUGUUCUUCUGUGAGCUCAGACUUGGCACCUUAUUUUAUUUCUGAGCCACUCUCUGCUGUCCAGAAGCUUGGUAGACCCGUGGUCCUACAUUGUUCUGCUAAACCUGUUACUGCCCGAAUCUCAUGGUUGCAUAAUGGAAAACGGUUGGACAGAAACACAGAACAGAUAAAGAUUCAUCGGGGGACUUUGACCAUUCUGUCUCUUAACCCUUCCCUUUCUGGUUGCUACCAGUGCGUUGCCAACAACAGCGUUGGUGCCGUUGUGAGCGGCCCCGCAACAGUGUCCGCUGCAGCCCUGGGUGAUUUCGAUUCAUCAACAAUGCACGUUAUUACUGCAGAAGAGAAAAACACAGGCUUCAUUGGCUGCAGGGUACCAGAGAGUAACCCCAAAGCUGAGGUGCGCUAUAAGAUCCGGGGAAAGUGGCUGAAGCAUUCCACAGGGAACUACAUAAUCCUUCCCUCAGGAAACCUUCAGGUUCUGAAUGUGUCCUCUAAGGAUAAGGGAUCCUACAAAUGUGCUGCCUAUAACCCUGUCACCAGUGAACUGAAGGUUGAGCCCACUGGCCGGAAGCUCCUUGUGAGUCGUCCUUCCUCGAAUGGCUUUCACAUUCUUCACCCUGCUCUUUCUCAGGCAUUAGCUGUCCUUCCUCACAGCCCCGUUACCUUGGAGUGUGUGGUGAGUGGGGUUCCGGCCUCACAAGUGUAUUGGCUGAAGGACGGUCAGGAUGCCGUGGCAGGAAGCAACUGGAGAAGGCUGUACUCUCAUCUGGCCACAGCUAGCAUCGACCCAGCGGAUUCGGGGAACUAUUCCUGUGUGGUGGGCAACAAGUCCGGAGAUGUGAAACACGUCACUUACAUGGUCAAUGUACUGGAGCAUGCGUCAAUUUCUAAAGGGCUGCACGAUCAGAAGGUGUCCCUGGGGGCCACCGUACAUUUUACCUGUGAUGUUCAUGGGAACCCAGCCCCCAACCGCACCUGGUUUCAUAACGCACAGCCUAUCCACCCCUCCUCACGGCAUCUCACUGAAGGAAACGUGCUGAAGAUCACCCGGGUUGUCAUGGAAGAUUCUGGGCUAUAUCAGUGCGUAGCAGACAAUGGCAUUGGAUUCAUGCAGUCUACUGGGAGACUUCAAAUUGAACAAGACAGUGGAUGGAAGCCUGUUAUUGUCACCGCACCAGCAAACAUAGAGGUGAUGGAUGGAGACUUUGUGACUUUGUCUUGUAAUGCCACCGGAGUGCCUGUCCCAGUCAUUCAUUGGUACGGCCGCCAUGGAUUGAUAACCAGCCAUCCAUCUCAGGUCCUUAGGUCCAAACCCCGAAAGUCCCACCUGUUCCGGCCUGGGGACCUGGACCUGGAGCCUGUCUACCUCAUCAUGUCCCAAGCUGGCUCGAGCUCUCUGUCUAUUCAGGCAGUCACUCUGGAGCAUGCUGGGAAAUAUACUUGUGAAGCUACAAACAAACAUGGCAGCACACAGUCAGAAGCAUUCCUCACAGUUGUUCCUUUCGAGACAAACACAAAGGCAGAGUCAGUCACACCUUCUGAAGCUUCUCAGAAUGAUGAGCGAGACCCACAAGACGGUUCAGAGUCCAGCCUGCUGAACUUGUUUCCAGUGAAGGUGCAUCCCAGUGGAGUGGAAUUGCCAGCAGAGAGAAAUGCCUCGGUCCCCGAUGCUCCUAACAUACUGAGCCCCCCACAGACUCACAUGCCAGACACGUACAACCUGGUGUGGAGGGCAGGGAGGGAUGGCGGAAUGCCCAUCAACGCCUAUUUCGUGAAGUACCGAAAGCUGGACGAUGGUAGUGGUGCAGUGGGCAGCUGGCACACAGUUCGUGUCCCAGGGAGUGAAAAUGAGCUGCAUCUAACUGAGCUGGAGCCAUCAAGUCUCUAUGAAGUUUUGAUGGUGGCUAGAAGUGCAGUUGGUGAAGGACAGCCUGCCAUGCUUACCUUCCGGACCAGCAAAGAAAAAAUGGCGUCAUCAAAAAACACCCAGGCCUCCUUUCCGCCUGUGGGCGUCCCCAAGCGGCCUGUUACUGCAGAGGCUUCCAACAGCAAUUUUGGAGUUGUGCUUACGGAUUCCUCCAGGCAUAGUGGAGUCCCAGAGGCACCAGAUCGACCUACUAUCUCUAUGGCGUCGGAGACCUCAGUCUAUGUCACCUGGAUUCCCCGAGCAAAUGGUGGCUCUCCCAUCACCGCCUUCAAGGUGGAAUAUAAACGGAUGAGAACUAGUGAUUGGCUGGUAGCGGCUGAAGACAUUCCUCCUUCCAAACUCUCUGUGGAAGUUCGUAGUUUAGAGCCAGGUUCAAUAUACAAAUUUAGGGUCAUUGCUAUCAACCAUUACGGUGAGAGUUUUCGGAGCUCAGCAUCCCGUCCUUACCAGGUGGCCGGCUUCCCAAAUCGUUUUUCCAAUCGCCCAAUAACUGGACCUCACAUCGCAUACACAGAGGCUGUUAGCGACACUCAGAUCAUGCUGAAAUGGACGUAUGUUCCAUCAAGUAACAAUAAUACUCCCAUUCAAGGAUUCUAUAUCUACUACCGGCCAACAGACAGUGACAAUGACAGUGACUACAAGAGAGACGUUGUGGAAGGCUCAAAGCAGUGGCACACCAUUGGUCACCUGCAGCCAGAGACCUCCUAUGACAUUAAGAUGCAGUGCUUUAAUGAAGGAGGGGAGAGUGAGUUCAGCAACGUGAUGAUCUGCGAGACUAAAGUAAAACGUGUUCCUGGAGCUUCCGACUAUCCCGUGAAAGAGUUGAGUACCCCUCCCAGUUCCUCGGGAAACGCAGGGAACGUGGGGCCUGCAACCAGCCCCGCCAGGAGCAGCGAUAUGUUGUACCUCAUCGUUGGCUGUGUGCUUGGGGUUAUGGUCCUCAUUCUUAUGGUUUUCAUUGCGCUGUGUCUGUGGAAGAGUCGCCAACAGAGCACCAUACAGAAAUAUGAUCCUCCAGGAUAUCUCUACCAGGGGUCAGAGAUUAAUGGGCAGAUGGUAGAGUAUACCACUCUCUCAGGAGCAGCCCGGAUCAACGGGAGUGUUCACGGAGGCUUCCUCAGCAAUGGCUGUUCUCAUCUGCACCAUAAAGGCCCCAGUGGAGUCAACGGGACCCUGAGUGGAAACAUAAAUGGAGGCCUUUAUUCUGCACACACAAACUCCCUGACCAGGGCGUGUGUGGAGUUUGAGCAUCCUCACCAUCUAGUGAAUAGUGGAGGAGUGUACACAGCCGUCCCUCAGAUGGACCCACUGGAAUGCAUUAAUUGUCGGAAUUGCCGGAACAACAAUAGCCUACAUCAAUGGACGUCUCCCUGUAGAAGCUGGCCCUUGCUCUUCUGUGCUGCUGGCCACCAGUCCUGUCCCGUGGAUGUAACUUUGUGCCACUCUGAGAGAUGUUCUUUAGAAAUCAUGAUGUUGAAAAGCCCUUAGACUUCACUCAGAAAUCCCAUCGACAGCUUGCUUUAAAUUAAAGAAGAGCACAAGACAAGAGAAACCAGAAGGAAGAAGAGGCCUCUCUCUGCCUGACUCAUCUGCAUCUUCUUGCUCAGAACUGGUCUUGCCAACGACUUCAGCCACCAGAACCGAACUCCUUUCCUAAUUUUGUUUUUGUCCCAUGUGUUAAAGACGGAAAUAAAGAAUUCUGGUCUUCAUUCUCUCAAAUGGCCUAUUUCAACCAUGUAACUGCUCGCCUCUGUGCCUGUCCUGCCUGCCUUACAUUAAAACAUAACAGAGCCUCAAUUUCAAACUUUUCUUAGUCCCAAUUUUAGAAAGUAAAAAAAAAAAAAAAAAAAAAACAAAAACAAAAAAAAAACUACUAGUAACAGAGGACCAACUUGAUAUUCAACAGAUGUCAAUGAUAAAAUUUAGACAAUUUAAGAAUGUUUCAGGCAGAAACUAAACUAGAACCCACUCUUUUAAAGGCAGUCUGGGUUUCACCUGAAGUUUUUCUCCAGUCUUGGGGUAAGGGACCAAGAAAGAACAUGUCAGAAAACUGAGUUCACCAACAGUAAAACAAACAGAAAAUUCAAAGCGAAAUCAAGUUUGAAAAGGAAUUACUGGACAUCCAAGGAAAUAGAAUAAGGUGUGUCAUGGGGAGAUACACCCGGACAGUAGAAGCAGAUCCAGAGAUGGCAAACAGUGGCAUUAACCAGAUAGUAUACAUAUGUUCAAGGACUUACAGGAAAAUAAAUACUUAGGAAAUGAACUUGUGGAUGUUUCAGCCAAGAAAAAAAUCCAAAUAGAAACUUCAGGACUGAGAAAGCACGGCAUGUGAAUGGAAAGUGGGCAGGGUGAUGGUGACAGCCAUUGGAAGAGACAAUAGACAACCCAAAGACCUGGGAAGUGGAGUUGCAGAGAUUACCCAGGCUGAAGCUGGAGGCAGGAAAUAAAAGUAGAAUGGACUUGAAAUGAAGUGAUCAGUCCUGGCAGAUUCCCAGUAAAUUAAUUUGACAAUGGAAAAAGAAACCUUAAAAGAGCUGGCCGCUAAAUGGCUAGUCUGUGCGGUUCCCUGCAGGGCUGAGGGGAAAGCUUCUCUGAAAGCUAAUACUGACUGCCAGGUGACGGGGACUAGAGUCACAGAGGAGGCACAGCUGUGAACAUGGCUUUGAGGGAGUUCUGGGACGAGGUUAACUGAAGUGAAAAGACCCACAGUGAGUAGGGACCAGAGUCCCAGGCUGAGCAGGAGGGAGAAAGCCGAUGGGACACCAGCUUCUUGACUGCAAGUGCCGCGUCCCCAGCUACCUCCGGUCCUGUUGCCAAACCAUCCACUCAUGGUGCAUCAUACUCUUGAACCUGGAUCUAGAGUGGACCUCUCUCCUUCGUUAAGUGGCUGUUGUCAGGGCCUUUGUCAUAGCACUGAGAAAAGAAACCGGUGUGCCACCUGACGUCAUGGGUUUUAUAUUGGCUGUCAUAAGGCCAUAUCCCUCUUGUGGCCAUGUGUCUGAGCUUUCUUUCCUUCCUUUCUCUCCCUCAAUCCUUGCUGGUCUGUUUCACUUCUGUGUUCUGUAUUUAGGAGCUAAUUAAUGAAAUGGGAGUUGUUUUCUGCCAGUGGGCUACAGGAAGUGUGUGGGUUGGGUCAUCAUGGAAGGUUCUGUCCUUAGGUGGUUUGCCUUUGGUACAUUUUCCUGUCAUCGUCCACUACAACUGUAGUUUUCAGAGUCUUAGAAUUUCCAGUCCUAAUGAGUGAAAUUAGUUGUUUUUCAAGCAUAAUUCUUAAGAGUUAGUGAGUAUAAAAUAUUCAUCAUGUUUAAAAUAAACUUAUUUUAAUCAUUGAUGCCCCUAAACACUCAGUUCUGUUUCUUGGCUUAAACUCUACAGGUGUUUCACCAAAACCAACAGUCCCCUUCCUGUGGUCCCAGUGGUAGCCUCUUAUCCUCAGGGUGGUCUGGAAAUGAAGCCCCUCAAUGCCAUGAAGGUGCCUGUGUGCCCAGCUUCCACAGUUCCUGACCAUGGCCAGUUACCUGACGAUUGUGUCAAGGACAGUGUGGCACCAAUACCUACCCAGCAUACUUGCUGCCAGGACAACAUAAGUGACAUCAAUUCUGAUUCCACAGAAGACACAGCAGAGUUCAGCAGAGGAGACAGCAGUGGUCAUUCUGAAGCAGAGGACAAAGUUUUCAGUUGGAAUCCUCUUAUUUUGUCACCUGUCUUGGAGGACUGUGGUGAGAAGACAGCGAGGUCUCCCCCUGGACCUCCUCUAGACGGGCUGUCGGUGGUCCUUCAGCAAGCCCAAGAGACCUGAGAGGAGUGUGAGCAGACCUCUUCGUGUUCCCACUGCAAGCCAGUAACUGUACCACACAGGCCUGGGGACAAACUGUGUGAAGGACAUUAAUUCAAAUCAGAGAAAACCAUUAUUUAUUUUUUGUAAUAGUCAUGUCAUGAAUGUAUCUUAAAAUGUGUGCCCUUUCAUAUUAUUUAUGCCUUACCUUUUCCCUUCUCCAUUUCGUCCUGCCCCUGGAUAGGACCCCCCCCCCGUUUUUGUUUUGUUUGUUUUGUUUUAACAGAGCUUUUCAAUCAUCUGGAAAACAGGGGAUCACUCUGUGUCUUCCAGGGUCUUCCGUGGCAGUAGGAACUUGUGCUGGGUCCCAUCCUCAGGCCUGUUCAGUUGUGGGGAGGAGGGUUGCCCAAGCCACUUCACAUUUGUCACCAGUCAUUCCUAGAUGGAAAACUGUCACUUCUCCCGUGUCAUCAGACUUUCUGGGAACAUUUAGAAAUCAACCAUAGUUGUGAUCAUUUGUUUAUAAUAGCCAACCCAACUGACAGAUUUUUUUUGACUGCCUUCCAGAAAAACACUAAUACUGAUUUAUUUUCUCUCUGGCCUGGCUACGAAUAGUGAUCAGUCUUCUAGGUUUCAACCAGCCAGUGUUGUUAUGAACACGGAAGCAUGUAAAGUCUGUCUGGAUUAUUGUAUUAUGUAGACAGGGAACCAGACUCAGAAAGAAAAUUAAUUCCUUCAUGGUCCACUGCUUUCUUAAUUUACAAAAUGGUUGUCAUGAGUUCUUUGCACUGCUUGCAAGGGUAUAUAAUACAAAAAUGAGGCUUUUAAAGUGAUAGUUUGAAGAGAAAGCUGUUACACGCCUCAAGAAAGAGAAGGGCUGAAGGGACCUCUGAGUGAAGCUCUUCCGUUGAUCCUAUAGUACUUGUGAUGCUCAACUACUUGGAGACUGAUAUUUGUGUCACUUCUAACAUAGACAGUGUCCUGGAGGAUCUGAGUGAGCAUGUGUGAGUCAACCUUCUGCCACUAUAGCAAAAUUCCUGAGGUGAUUGUCUUAUAAGGACGCAGGGUUAUCUUGGUUCCCAAGCUUAGUUCUAGUUUGUGAUUGAAUAGACCUGUAGCUUUGGGCCUGUGUUGAGGGAGCACAUCAUGGUGGAUAUGCAUGGCAGAGCAAAAUAGCUUAUACCACAAACCAGAAGAGGGGGAGAACGAGAAGAACAGAGUGUACAAGUCCCCCUCUCCCCCAAGAGCAUGCCUCAGUGAUCAGAAGACCUCACACUUCCCUGCUCAAGAUUCUACCAUCUCGGGAACAUGUUGUCAUGGGACUCAGACCUUGAACACAGAGAUGGAUAGGCCUUUGGAAAACAGUAUCCAAACCAAAGCAGAAUGCCGGGAAAGGCUUAGUUUGAAGAAAGGGUUUGAGGGCAUUUUUGGAUAGUUUUUCUGGUCGCUGUCAUUAUGAACAGUAACUGAGGCUUCAGUCAGCAGGAUCCAUGCAAGCAGUUACUGGUCUCUGAGUGACAAGGACAUCGCGGCUGCCUUUGGAAGGCUUUUCAUACAAACGUGUGAAAUAGAAACCCCAGGUGCUACAAAUGCAUUUCAGUAACUUGAACCAGGCCCUGAUGGAUCACAGAUCUGCUUUUGAAUGGUGUAUCCCUUGGGGGGGGGGGGGCGCGGGGGGGGGGGACAACAAAAUUAUUCUCUUUAUGUGGAAUCAGACAAUUCCAGGAUACAUUUUGUUUUCAUUUCCCACAAAUUGCAGUGAAAGAGAAUAAGAUACUGUACUAAUCAACUUUAUAUACAUUUGUCAGUAUUCCCUUACAUAUGUCUGUAUCUUUUAUAAAUAGAACUGUUUGUGGAAAUGUACUGUUUCAGCAGGGGCCACUACGCAAGCGUUCCUUCUGAAAAAUGCAGUAAAUAGAAUUCCAUAGCUGGGUAGCGGGCUGCUGUAGAAGCGAGUUCUAUGAUCCUGGGGUUCAUGGCCAUAGUAUAAGAGAUAUGCAGUUAGUUUUGGAGGUAGUUUGUAGCCUUACAUCUUGACUUGCAAAGUACGGUGUAGAGACCUACUGUGUGCUUUGCCAGUUGAGUUGAAACAAAGUUGUCUCAGAGUCGGGGUUUUGGAAAGCGGGAAACAAAUGUCUGUGGGCAGUCAGUUGUUCACUGUAACUCAUGAAACAGGUAUGCUGGCUCGAGCCUUAGGUCAGAACUGCUUUUAAAGAUUGAAUUUGACAUGGGGCUUGCCCAUGAGGAAGAUGAAAUUCCUUUACCUUUAGGGCAAUCUCAUUGUGGACUGCUUUAUUUAUGAUUAGUAACGCUGUUUUAAGUGUUAACCCUUUUAUUGUAUUUUAUUUAUAAAAAUGGCUUUAUAUAUUGAGAUAUAUAAAUAUAAAUAUAAAUCUAUAUAAUUGCCUUUAUAUUUAGGAGUUUGAGUUCUCCUUAUUGUGAGUUUCUGUGAACUUUUGUGCCCUGCACAGUCACCAGAAAUGGUCCUAGUAAGUGUCACUUCCCCAGGAAUCAAGAGGACAUAGGAAAAUGUGGGGGAGGGGUCACCAGUCAUUCCAAAAUGGAAUGGUGCGCAUUUGUGGAGAAACGAUUGUUUAUUAGCCCCCUGUUUUCUCAUCUGACCUCCACAACAAAUAGAGUAGGCAUGGAAUUCCCGGCCGACAAGUGAGCUAGAGCCUGCUCUGGAGCCUACUCUACCUGACCCAUCACCACGCCCCCUUUACCUGCUUUCUGGAAGUGUUAUGGUUCACUCUCCGUGGAACCAGUCCAGAACGUGUGCUGUUGUCCACCCCUGCUGCAGCUGGUGGGGCUUCCCUCUGUCCACCCGCAUCUCAGACUGGCAGAGCUCUUUACCAAGUACUUCAUGUUCGGGAAUCUCUCCUUGAUACUCUACCCUUACCCUCACCCAAUCCCACCCUUUCCUAACCUCAUGAAGAUUUAACCAUCAACUGGCCCACUGACCAUGAAGCUGGUAGGGGCUCUUCGUGGUUCGGGAGAGCCUUUGUUCAGCAUUAAGCUUCCCUAGUCCUAGUAAAUCAUGUCUCCUUUUCCUGGUUUUGUUCACCAAUUAUGUGACUGGCUCUGGUGACGGGUGCUGUACAGGGUACAGGUUAAUUGUGUCAUUCUAAACUGUUGAGGUGAUCUCAUUGUUAAACGGUUCUUGCUGGGUUCUCUUUGUACAGUUGUUACUCCAGGCUGAUCACGUCACAUCUCUGCGUCAGCUCCAGCACUACCGAGAGACUGUUCGGAACUGUCCUUUCUUUACCUGUAUUGCUCGCUCUUACAGCAUUGGCCCUGCGAUGCAUGCCUUGUGCUAUAUUGAAAAAAUAUGUUUUAUUUUCCUUAAAGUUGUGCUGUUAUGUGUGAAGUUGUACAUACUCUAAGUGAUGUAGUUUUGACAGGUUUUAUUUGGUUGGCAUGAUUUUAUAUUAAAAGAGAAUGCUGCUUUCACGUGCA